rnacentral:rRNA from 1 species
AGCUGACCUUUCGGGGGUAUGUGCACGCUUGUCAUCUUUACUUCUCCAACCUGUGCACAUAUUGUAGACCUGGGAGUUUUGAAUUUACUUUCGAGUUUGGGACUUGCUGGUAUAUCAUCAGCUUUUCCCUUUGCAGGUCUAUGUCAUUUUCACAAACCUCUGAUUUGAAUGAAUACCUAUAUAAAAGUUAUACAACUUUCAGCAACGGAUCUCUUGGCUCUCGCAUCGAUGAAGAACGCAGCGAAAUGCGAUAAGUAAUGUGAAUUGCAGAAUUCAGUGAAUCAUCGAAUCUUUGAACGCAUCUUGCGCUCCUUGUAUUCCGAGGAGCAUGCCUGUUUGAGUGUCAUUUAAGUUCUCAAACCCACAUUUUCUUCGAUGUGGUUUGGAUGUGGGGGAAAUGUUGCAGGCCUAGUCUGCUCCCCUGAAUGCAUUAGUGGUAUCUGAGCCUUACUACAGGUGUGAUAAAUCUAUCUAUGCCUUUGGUAUGCUGCAUGAACAGAUUGCACUGCUUCCAACAAAACAAAAAUAUUCUUUAUAAGACCUCA